AUCAGCUAGUUGUACACCAGUACUACUUGCUGCUAAAUUUUGUUAGGGAAAAAUCCCAUUCAGUGAUGGCUCUCUGUUGACAAUUGUCUUUUGGAGAUCUGCCAAGUAGCCAGCUCUUCACCCAUUCAUCCUGUGCCUUAUCAGUAUUGCAAAUGCCAUUUUUUCAAUUGAAAUCAUAUGUGAAUUAAACUUAACAGCAAUUCCAUAAUUAUCUUGCUUAAGAAAUUCAUUAUAAAGUACCUCUAAUCUUCAUUUGCAUUUUUCUGUCUUUUUUCUUCUCCCUUCCAAUUUAUUUGUGAUUAAUUGGCUCUUUUGAGCCAACUACAUAUGUUAUUUGCUUGGACUAUCCUUUUUGUAUCAUUGGAUGACUAUAGGUGUCUAGUGACCACCAUCUUUUGUGCCUGUAACUAAUUAACUCCUGGCAGUCAGGAAUGAUGUAGUGUAUCUGUACCUUUCUCAUUAAAGGAUUUAUCCUCUACAAUUCUCUCUCUCUUUUUUUUUUCUCUUCUUUUUUUUUUCUUUUUUUUUUUCCCCUCUCUCUGUCUUAUUUUGUCAAGAGAUCCAAGCAAUACUUUGUUUACUGGCUGCAUGAGACCUCCAGCAUAUGCCUCCCAAACUGAGGAACCCCUAACAGUGCAGGUUUUCCCACUGAUGUAUUCCAGACAGGUCUUAAGGAGUAGGACAAUCUCUUUUCUGGUUUGAUUUAGUGGUCUACAAAGCCUCCUACCACUACCACCUCCUGAGCUUUCUGGGUCAGCUCAGUGAUCGAAGAGUCACUCAAAGUCCUGGGGUUCAGUCUAAGCUCUCAAUAACUAGAAAACUAGAUAAUGGUGUUUUUAAUGUUCAGUGCCAUACCUCACCUCUUUUACCUCAUCUGUUGUUCCCAAAAAGGAUGAGAUGGCUCCAGGAAACAGCAUCACAAAGUUAGCAGCAUGAAGUGGAUGAUGAGAUGGUGUCAUUCCCAGAAAGACUUCUGCUGUUGGUAUCUCGUGAAGCAUCUUGACAGUGUGAUGGCAUCCCACAGCUCCUUGUGCUUCUUCAGGUCACACAUGAGGAGUUUUUUCAAACAGCAAGUUAAGGCGAUGGAAUGAAAUCAGUGACAUCUGCCACUCACACUCUCUCCCACCAUCCUGUUUACCCAUAGCCCCCCUUUUUUCCUUUUCUUUUUCUAAUGCUCGUGGUUUUCAUCCCAUUCAAUAGCCACCCCCAAUUCCACUCCUGACCCCCCAGUUUCCCCAGUAAUUACUCUGGGGAAUGCAUUUGAAUCUGAAUCUCUCUCCUCCAUUCUUUGGUCUUUUUUGCCUGUUGAUUUGGAGAUGUCUUAAUGUUCCAUUUGAGCUGAGUUGUCUCCCUUCAUAAACUUCAGUCAUGUCCAUUUUUAUUUAGUCUCCAAGGAAAUCAAAGAUCAUGUCAUGAAAAUGAUGUGUCCAGCAUUUAACAUGAUCCCAUGCUGAUUGUCACAGGCUUCUAGGAAUUGUCAUACUCUGUGUUUCUCCCUUCCCUAUUGUGGUUGACCAUCUCCAUAACAAUUUAAAUAAAUGAAAUCUAAUUAAAAAGAAAAAGAACA
rnacentral:lncRNA from 1 species